rnacentral:lncRNA from 8 species
UAAACAAAUUCUACCCAUUUUGCCAUGACUUAUGCCAUGUUAAUGAUAGAGUGAGCGUGCAUAACAAAAUCAACGGAGACCCCCUGGACCUCAGGGCCCCUGGGCAGGUGCCCUGCGUGCCUUGUUAGUAUUCAGCAAUGAUUACUACAAGUUUAGAUAGCUGGCUAGUGGCUAGACUAAUUUACCACUGACAUGGCUAAUUGAGUGACUAUCAGUGACUGAUAUAACGAGAGAAAAACUGCUAAUGCACAACCACAUUUGUAAAUUGCACCUUACGUAUUCUGCUAUUCUCAAUCUCAACAGUAAAUUGAGAUUUUAAUUAAUAAAUAAAAAAUUGGCGGGGGGGGGGGGCCUAAGUGACCGCUUAUGUCGCUUAUGCCUGGAACUGGCCCUGCAGCACGGCUAAAGGGAUGGGGCUGUUUGGUUAAUCGAUGAGGUGGAUGAGGAGGGACACAGCAGGAAAGCGGUAAAAAGAGACAGAGUCAGACAGAGAGAGAGAGAGAGAGAGAGGGAGGGAGAAAGAGAGAGUGAGAAUGAGAAAGAGAGGGAGGAAUGUGCGGGGAUCCAGGCCAUGGCAGUACUAGGGAGCCUUCCCUGAUGGAUGUUGGGUCGGUAGGGAGUGCUGUCAGUGGAAGGUAAACGUGUGAUACAUGCAAAAUCAAUUGGAUUAUUACAUGUGCUUAGAGGACUGGGUUGUUGGCUAGGAUAGGUGAUUACUAGAGCUGGACAGACCUUCAGUAUGGGACUCACCUGCUUCAAGUCUUGGAAGUACGACAGUGCCGCUCAGAAAGGUGAGUGAGGUGUCAACCCUCGCCUCACAUACUCAUCCUGUCAGAAUACUCAUCAUCAUGAGACAGAUCUGGUUCACUUUAACCUGGCUUGGACGGCUCUACUAUGUGACUGUUUCCUCAUAUUCAGCAGAAAGUGGGAACAGAGAUGUACUGGUCAGCCCUGGCUCAUACUUCUUCCUCUCCAACAGCUGUGGUCAGGGAGAGGAGUGGCUCAAGACCCUCAACAAGGGUGUCUGGAUACCCUUUACAGGUAACUUCACUAGAACAAUACUACUACACUGUUACACACUUAUUAGCCUACAUCACUCAAAUGCAUACACUUGACGCUCUCACUGUCUCUCACUGGAAACGGUAGACUAAGGCGACUGUUUACAAAUCCAGCUGGAUUUGAAAACUCAGGUUUGGUUUGCCAGAAAUAGAACACGUGCUCUCCGCAAGAUUCAAACAAUCAAUUCACUGUCUACCAUAUAAUUUGGUCACGUUACAUUGUUUAAUGCAUUUUAGUUCAACAGACUUCCUGAACUGACCAGAGUCUGACUCUUCCAAUCAGCCAUGUGUGUGUGUGCAUUCAUCAGCCUCAACUCCUCUUCCCCCUUGGUGGGCACAGCUGUGUGUCUGCCUUAGCUGGGUGGCUGCCUGGGCUUCACACCGUAGUUACCCAGAGAGGGGCCAGCUCCCCUUCAAGCCCUAUCAGUCUCAAGGCCCAGGGACGAAACAUAGGGGGCUCCACCUAGAGGUCUGCAAAUAGAGCACGGGAGUACACACACACACGCACACACACACACACACACACACACACACACACACACACACACACUUCACAGGUUAAGCUGAACUAGCCCAUGUGACGUGCAGGCCAAGUGCUGAAUUUCCUUGUGUGGAGAAAUAUUGAUUGUUAUCCAGACCUGAGUAAUAAUGACAUAGUAAUCCUGUAAUAUUUGAGCAUCAGGCCACCAUGGAGGGAAUUCACUGGAUCAAAAUACACUUUACGGCCUGUAAAGACCUUAAGCUCUUAAAUGUCUUUAGACUAUGUACUUGUGUUGUGUGCCUACAGUGCCUACCAUAUAAAUCUGACCCCUGAGCCGGAUCAAUGCCCAGCAACACAUUUCACAAGAGAGAUGAACAUUCACAAUGGAUUCCUCGCACCGUCCCGGAGCAGUUAGUUGCUCCAUCCCUGAGCCUACUGUCUCUCUCUGACACACACGUCAUCCAGGAGACGUCGUCCAGGAGAGAGAUCUUCAGAGAUUAGAGGCUCACUGAGGCCACACAACCACCUAAUUAACAUCUUUAUUUUUCUGAGCUAGACUCAGCUGGGGCUGCAUGGGGCUCAUCAGGGGCCAGCGUCGUCCCACAGAGGCUUGGACUACAGGGGGAG